CAAGUGACUAGAAUCAGACAUCAGAGAGCUCCAGGCUCAUCUUGGCAGACUUUGUAUUUUUAUCCAGCAAGGAACUUGUCCAACCUACCCUCCCCUACAUCUUUUACUUCCAAGGUUUUGCUUUCUGUAGCUACUUUCCUGCCUGCACAGAGGAGAUUUUCCAGAAAAGAGCCCCCAGCAUUUCUACUGCUCAGCCAUGCUCCUGUUGCUUAUCCCAAUACUGGAGAUGAUAUUUGUCCUGAGAGAUGCCAGAGCCCAGUCAGUGACUCAGCCUGACAGCUAUGUCAGUGUCUCUGAAGAAGCCUCAUUGGAGCUGAGGUGCAAGUAUUCUUAUAGUGGAGUUCCUUAUCUCUACUGGUAUGUCCAAUACCCUGGCCAAGGCCUCCAGCUUCUCAUCAAGCACUUUUCAGGAGAUAGCUGGGCUCAAGGCAUCAAAGACUUUGGGGCUGAAUUAAAGAAGAAUGAAUCUUCCUUCAACCUGAAGAAAUCCUCAACCCAUUGGAGGGACUCAGCUGUGUACUUCUGUGCGCUGAGUGACACAGUGUCUGGGACUGCAGGGGGAGCUGAACAGAAACCACUCAGCAUGUGGAGUUUUCUCAGACUUAAGAUGUGUUCUUGUGGGGGGAGCAUUUGGCCAUAACAAUUGUCCUGCUUAUAGAAAUUUAUUUAAGAAAUUGGCUCAUGUGACUGUGGAGACAGACAAGUCCAAUGUUAUUAUGUAGGCUGGAAAUUCAGGAAAGAGUUGAAGUUGCAGUCUUAAGUCCUAAGUCCUUAGGUCAGGCUGACAGGAUCAAAGUCAGGCUGGAUUUCCAUGUUAGAUUCUUGAGGAAGAAUUCCUUUUGUCCUAGAAACCUUGUUGUUUUGCUUCAUCUAAUUGGAUGAAAGCUAUUUUUCCUGUGGUAUUUUUAACAAUCUUAUGCUAUAUGUUAGCAAGUGAGGCAAAGAGAGGUGUAAAGACCCAAGCAUUUUAUAUAAUUCUA